AAGACUAUAGACCUGCGGAGUACCUGCGGAAGGAUCAUUACCGAGUUUUCAACUCCCUAACCCUUCUGUGAACCUACCUAUCGUUGCUUCGGCGGACUCGCCCCAGCCCGGACGCGGACUGGACCAGCGGCCCGCCGGGGACCUCAAACUCUUGUAUUCCAGCAUCUUCUGAAUACGCCGCAAGGCAAAACAAAUGAAUCAAAACUUUUAGCAACGGAUCUCUAGAUCGGAAGAGCACAC
rnacentral:misc_RNA from 1 species